UACAGAGGUGGCAAGCGUUGUUCGGAAUUACUGGGCGUAAAGGGCGCGUAGGCGGCCUUCUAAGUCAGACGUGAAAUCCCCCGGCUUAACCUGGGAACUGCGUCUGAUACUGGGAGGCUAGAGUGCGGGAGAGGGAUGCGGAAUUCCACGUGUAGCAGUGAAAUGCGUAGAGAUGUGGAGGAACACCGAUGGCGAAGGCAGCCCCCUGGGUCAACACUGACGCUCAUGCACGAAAGCGUGGGGAGCAAACAGG
rnacentral:rRNA from 1 species